UCUGGAAUCGUCUAAUGGUAGGACAGUGGGCUCUGAACCCAUAAGUCAAGGUUCGAAUCCUUGUUCCAGAG
rnacentral:tRNA from 1 species